rnacentral:rRNA from 1 species
AAGUCGAGCGGUAACAUUUCUAGCUUGCUAGAAGAUGACGAGCGGCGGACGGGUGAGUAAUGCUUGGGAAUAUGCCUUAGGGUGGGGGACAACAGUUGGAAACGACUGCUAAUACCGCAUAACGUCUACGGACCAAAGGGGGCUUCGGCUCUCGCCCUUAGAUUAGCCCAAGUGGGAUUAGCUAGUUGGUGAGGUAAUGGCUCACCAAGGCGACGAUCCCUAGCUGGUUUGAGAGGAUGAUCAGCCACACUGGAACUGAGACACGGUCCAGACUCCUACGGGAGGCAGCAGUGGGGAAUAUUGCACAAUGGGCGCAAGCCUGAUGCAGCCAUGCCGCGUGUGUGAAGAAGGCCUUAGGGUUGUAAAGCACUUUCAGUAAGGAGGAAAGGUUAGUAGUUAAUACCUGCUAGCUGUGACGUUACUUACAGAAGAAGCACCGGCUAACUCCGUGCCAGCAGCCGCGGUAAUACGGAGGGUGCGAGCGUUAAUCGGAAUUACUGGGCGUAAAGCGUACGCAGGCGGUUUGUUAAGCGAGAUGUGAAAGCCCCGGGCUCAACCUGGGAACUGUAUUUCGAACUGGAAACUAGAGUAUGAUAGAGGGUGGUAGAAU